ensembl:lncRNA
GUGGGCAGCACCUGGAGGGACAGUGGGACCCGGACUGGCAGGUGAGCCGUACAUACGUACAUACGGAUGGAACGAAUUGACGAUGCAAACCCCGGCCCGGGAAGGAGGGCCGGCGCUCAAUGAACUCCUCCUUGAACUCUUCCUCUCCCUUGAAGCCCCUCAGUUUGGUGACACAGAUUUUACUGUAAUUAAUAAUAAUGUCACCUUUCACCGUGAAAGUGAAAGUUGUGUCCGACUCUUUGGGACUCUACACAGUCCACGGAAUUCUCCAUAACUGGAACUCUCAGGCUGGGUGUCCUCCAACCACAGGAUCCAGAGGAGGAAAGCGAGGCUCAGAGGUCCCGAGAGUUGCAGAUCCAGAAUCUAACAUGAAGGCUGACCUCUGGGAGGACCGUGCUUACUGCUUCCCGUGUACGACUUCAUCAAACAUGAGAACCAGGAAACUGGGAGAUGGCGAAGGACAGGGAGCCUGGUGUGCUGCAGUUCAUGGGGUUGCAACGAGUCAGACACAACUUAGCCACUGAACAACAACAACAACAGAUCCCAUGUCAUAGACGAAAGGUCCAGAGGCGUCCAGUCACGUGCCCAGGUCCCACCGCUCCUUGGUGCCAGGAUCAACAACCAGACAUCUCAGCCAAAAGGUGGGAGCAACCCAAGUGACCGUAGAUGGUUGAAUGGAUAAACAAAACAUGAUCUAUCCAUACAAGAGACUCUUAGUCCACGGGGGACUCUUAAAGAGGAAGGAAGUUCUGACACGCAUGACGAUAAGGCUAACCUUGAAGACAUUAUGAUCAGUCACAAAAGGACACAAGCCAGUCACAAAAGGACAAAUAUUGCAGGAUUGCACUUCAUAGAGGGUAUUCAGAAUAGUCAAAUCCACGGGGACAGAAAGGAGCGUGGAGGUUGCCAGGACAGAAAGGGCUGGUGGGGAGGGAGAAUGCGCAGUUAGUGUGGGUGGGGGGAGUUCCAGCGGGGCGUGUUGAAGGGUUCUGGAGAUGAAUGGGGGUGCGG